rnacentral:rRNA from 1 species
GACGAACGCUGGCGGCGUGCUUAACACAUGCAAGUCGAACGGGAAGGCCCUGCUUUUGUGGGGUGCUCGAGUGGCGAACGGGUGAGUAACACGUGAGUAACCUGCCCUUGACUUUGGGAUAACUUCAGGAAACUGGGGCUAAUACCGGAUAGGAGCUCCUGCUGCAUGGUGGGGGUUGGAAAGUUUCGGCGGUUGGGGAUGGACUCGCGGCUUAUCAGCUUGUUGGUGGGGUAGUGGCUUACCAAGGCUUUGACGGGUAGCCGGCCUGAGAGGGUGACCGGCCACAUUGGGACUGAGAUACGGCCCAGACUCCUACGGGAGGCAGCAGUGGGGAAUAUUGCACAAUGGGCGGAAGCCUGAUGCAGCAACGCCGCGUGCGGGAUGACGGCCUUCGGGUGGUAAACCGCUUUCGCCUGUGACGAAGCGUGAGUGACGGUAAUGGGUAAAGAAGCACCGGCUAACUACGU